rnacentral:rRNA from 1 species
CCCUAGUAACGGCGAGUGAAGCGGGAUGAGCUCAAAUUUAAAAUCUGGCUGGUUUACUAGUCCGAAUUGUAGUUUAUAGAAGCGUUUUCGGUGGCAGCCUGGGUAUAAAUCCUUUGGAAUAGGGUAUCAUAGAGGGUGAGAAUCCCGUCUUUGACUCAGUGCAUGCUACUAUGUGAUACGUUUUCAAAGAGUCGAGUUGUUUGGGAAUGCAGCUCAAAAUGGGUGGUAAAUUUCAUCUAAGGCUAAAUAUUGGCGAGAGACCGAUAGCGAACAAGUACCGUGAGGGAAAGAUGAAAAGAACUUUGAAAAGAGAGUUAAACAGUGCGUGAAAUUGUUGAAAGGGAAACGCUUGACACCAGUUAUGCGGGUGGAAAAUCAGUCUUUUGCAAUGGGGAGUUGUGGGCGUUCAGACCGCAAGGCUGGCGUUUGCUUCAUCUUUGUUGUAAGUGAUGCACUUUUUCAUUUGCAGGUCAACAUCAGUUUGCUUUGCUGGACAAAACCCCAAGGGAAGGUGGCAGCUUAGGCUGUGUUAUAGCCCUGGGGCGAUACAGUGGAGUGGACUGAGGUUUCGCAGUGUGUGCUUUCGGGCAAGGCUGAUUGGGUGCUAUGGGAUCGUUCGGCGUACAAUGCUUGCAUUUUGCGUCGUGUCCUUUUCAUACUCGCUCAACUCGGCUCUUCCACGCUUAGG